rnacentral:rRNA from 1 species
CCUACGGGAGGCAGCAGUGAGGAAUAUUGGUCAAUGGGCUUACGCCUGAACCAGCGACGCCGCGUGAGUGAAGAAGUAUCUCGGUACGUAAAGCUCUAUCAGCAGGGAAGAAAAUGACGGUACCUGACUAAGAAGCCCCGGCUAACUACGUGCCAGCAGCCGCGGUAAUACGUAGGGGGCAAGCGUUAUCCGGAUUUACUGGGUGUAAAGGGAGCGUAGACGGCAGCACAAGUCUGGAGUGAAAUCCCGGGGCUUAACCCCGGAACUGCUUUGGAAACUGUGCGGCUGGAGUGCAGGAGGGGUAAGCGGAAUUCCUAGUGUAGCGGUGAAAUGCGUAGAUAUUAGGAGGAACACCGGUGGCGAAGGCGGCUUACUGGACUGUAACUGACGUUGAGGCUCGAAAGCGUGGGGAGCAAACAGGAUUAGAUACCCUGGUAGUC